AUGUGGGGCUUGAACUCACAAACCUUAAGAUGAUGACCUGAGUUGAAGUCAGAAGCCACCCAGGCACCCUGAAGAAGUUUCGUUGGAGCUGCUCUAGGGACUCUAUGAAGCUCGGGACACUCUUCACCAGCUGGGAAGGAACACGUAUCUGCUCUUCAGGAAAUGCUGCCCUUUGGGUGGAAAAGGACUGGUUUCCUGGCAAUGCCAGAAUGAAGAUCCUUCUCUGCUGGAAACAAACAAAACCCCUUUAUCUGGGGAACUUCCUAUUUCCUCCACUGAAAGCUGUGGUUCUCAAACAUGGGGCAUUAUGCCAGGGGCACAUGAAAUCAUAGGAUAAACUGGGCACAUCUUCCUAGAUGUUACUUGGAACUUUGGGGGAAAUUGUCUCGAAUUUUUCUUCCUCAUCAAAACCACUGCCGCAUGUGGGUUGAAGAGUCAAAUUCACGUGGCAUUUAAAGAUUAAACAGGAGAUAUAAAAAUUUCAUGCUUCUGGUAAGCUGCUUUGGGUUAUGUCUUCAAAAUUCCUGGGGUGUCUUUCUACUGCUCUGCUGUCAGGAAGUACUUCAGUGGAGAAUUUUGAGAAGCAUAGAAGGCGUUCCCUGGAAAUGACAGACCGCUACAAGUUUCACCCAGUGAAUUCAGCACCUUGGGCUGAUUUAAUGAAGUUGGAAAAAACUUUGAAAUAUUAAUGGAGAUUGCUUUCCUCCCCAUCCCUUAAAGUUACCCAAUGCCUCCACUUAUGCUGUUAUUAAUUCAUUGCCUGGGGAGCAUUUGGAUUGUUAAAGCAGAAAGGUAAAGACAAAGAAACAGGGUUUCUAUCGAGAUUUAUAUAUGAAUUUAUAUAUAAAUUCAUAGCAGAGACCAGCAAGUCUUUUGGUUUGUGAGAGUUGGGUAUUGAACAUCAAAAGCAAAUCUCUUUGAAGGGAUCAGUGUGUCCUGGGUUGAAGUGUGUUUCCCCCACAAUUUGUAUGUUGAAAUCCUAACCCCCAGUACCUGAGAAUGUGACCUUAUUUGGAGAUGGGAAGUUACAGAGGUAAUCAACUUAAAAUGAGGUCUUUAGGAUGGGCUCUAGUCCAAUGUGCCUGGUGUCCUUAUGAAAGAGGAGAGGGAGUUUGGACACAGAGAUGCAUAGAGGGAAGAUCCUGUGAAGACACCUAGGGAGAAGAUGACCAUGUAUAAGCCAAGAAGAGAGGCCUGGAACAGACCCUUUGCUAAGCCCUCAGAAGAACUAACCUUGCCAAUACUUUGAUUUUGAACCUUAGCCUUCAGAACUGUAGACAAUAAAUUUGUUUUUUCUUUUAAGCCCUCCAGUUUACGGCAGUCCUGGCAAACACGAGGGAUGAAGUUAUGCCAUAAACCACAGAUUGGAAAUACUGUAUGUCCUGAAAUCUAAGAUGUUAUGAGUUGUAGGAUACACCCCAGUUUAAGAGUUGUCUAUGUGUAAAGAGACGUACAUCCUAGAAUCAAUAAAUAUGGCAGUGUAGAUGAGGGGCAAAAGUACCUUGUUCUAUAAACUAAACACGAACUAAGCAGAGAUUGGGAAGAACUGGAGGAGACGUGCUAGAGCUUAUAUUGCCAUGGGUUCAGGGAAAGCGAUCUAGUGGCCUGUCUUUAUGCCAUAAGCUGCUGUUCCCCAGGAUGAAGCCUUGUAGAGGAGUACUUUGUGUCAUCAUGGGAUAGCACCAGUGAGAGUACAAAAGGACAAGGUAACAAAUCUAAGAUUGAGAUUAGAGAGUAUCACAGAACAGGGUCCCAAAUUCCUGGUCUUCAAGAUAGUCUUGAAAGAGAGAAAUGGGGGAAGACACUGAGAGCAAGUGAGCCAGUGAACCCAAAGGAGCGUGUGGUUGACGUUAAAAGGAUGCAGAUGACCCUUCUAGAACUGAUGCUUGAAGGCCAACAUGAGAACCAAGGACAUCGGUGAAGGAUUUGGUGGGCAUAGAGACCAAUGACCAAAGAUUAGGUAGGAGGAAGGCAGUGCGAUAGAAGCCAGGGCAGGCACCAGGUGCCCAAAUGCCUGAGCCGUGUUUGAUAGAACCUUGGCAAGAAGGAUGAUAGAGGUGUGAUAUUUUGAAAUCACCAAGUCUAAGCUUGAAAUUAUUACUCUUACCCAGGAGUGACUGGGUUUACCUGAAAAUAACCUGGGUUGAAUUUUCUGACUUUGGAGGGAAUUGAGGAGGUAGGUCAAGACAAAUUAAUUCUGGUUAAAAUCAAUUUGAGAAAAGUGUAUUUGACUUUAUACGCUCAUACUUGUCUAGAUUUAAUGUGUUUUUUUUUUUACUCAGUAUACCAGUUUUCACUUAUAACCCAUUGCCUACCCCUCCUCCCACAUUAUAUGGAUUUCACUUGCACCAAGAACAGUCAAUUGUUUGUCUUAUCCAUUUCCCCUUGGUUUCCUAACCUGCUUUGAGUUACAGACCACUUGAGAGUGUGAUGGAAAGUAUGACUAUUUCUGUAGAAAUGUGCAUGUGUGUGCACAUCCAUAUCAAAUUUGGCAUGAAAUUUCAGGGACUUCCCAACCACUCUAAAACCCCUCACACUGUCAAAAAAUGGAAAUAAAAAGUAGAUUUGUGUUAAUAGAAA